rnacentral:rRNA from 1 species
GACGAACGCUGUCGGCGUGCUUAACACAUGCAAGUCGAACGGAAAGGCCCUGCUUUUGUGGGGUGCUCGAGUGGCGAACGGGUGAGUAACACGUGAGUAACCUGCCCUUGACUUUGGGAUAACUUCAGGAAACUGGGGCUAAUACCGGAUAGGAGCUCCUGCUGCAUGGUGGGGGUUGGAAAGUUUCGGCGGUUGGGGAUGGACUCGCGGCUUAUCAGCUUGUUGGUGGGGUAGUGGCUUACCAAGGCUUUGACGGGUAGCCGGCCUGAGAGGGUGACCGGCCACAUUGGGACUGAGAUACGGCCCAGACUCCUACGGGAGGCAGCAGUGGGGAAUAUUGCACGAUGGGCGGAAGCCUGAUGCAGCAACGCCGCGUGCGGGAUGACGGCCUUCGGGUUGUAAACCGCUUUCGCCUGUGACGAAGCGUGAGUGACGGUAAUGGGUAAAGAAGCACCGGCUAACUACGUGCCAGCAGCCGCGGUGAUACGUAGGGUGCGAGCGUUGUCCGGAUUUAUUGGGCGUAAAGGGCUCGUAGGUGGUUGAUCGCGUCGGAAGUGUAAUCUUGGGGCUUAACCCUGAGCGUGCUUUCGAUACGGGUUGACUUGAGGAAGGUAGGGGAGAAUGGAAUUCCUGGUGGAGCGGUGGAAUGCGCAGAUAUCAGGAGGAACACCAGUGGCGAAGGCGGUUCUCUGGGCCUUUCCUGACGCUGAGGAGCGAAAGCGUGGGGAGCGAACAGGCUUAGAUACCCUGGUAGUCCACGCUGUAAACGGUGGGUACUAGGUGUGGGGUCCAUUCCACGGGUUCCGUGCCGUAGCUAACGCUUUAAGUACCCCGCCUGGGGAGUACGGCCGCAAGGCUAAAACUCAAAGGAAUUGACGGGGCCCCGCACAAGCGGCGGAGCAUGCGGAUUAAUUCGAUGCAACGCGUAGAACCUUACCUGGGUUUGACAUGGAUCGGGAGUGCUCAGAGAUGGGUGUGCCUCUUUUGGGGUCGGUUCACAGGUGGUGCAUGCCUGUCGUCAGCUCGUGUCGUGAGAUGUUGGGUUAAGUCCCGCAACGAGCGCAACCCUUGUUCACUGUUGCCAGCACGUUAUGGUGGGGACUCAGUGGAGACCGCCGGGGUCAACUCGGAGGAAGGUGGGGAUGACGUCAAGUCAUCAUGCCCCUUAUGUCCAGGGCUUCACGCAUGCUACAAUGGCUGGUACAGAGAGUGGCGAGCCUGUGAGGGUGAGCGAAUCUCGGAAAGCCGGUCUCAGUUCGGAUUGGGGUCUGCAACUCGACCUCAUGAAGUCGGAGUCGCUAGUAAUCGCAGAUCAGCAACGCUGCGGUGAAUACGUUCCCGGGGCU